rnacentral:rRNA from 1 species
GUGUCAGCCGCCGCGGUAAUACGUGGGGUGCAAACGUUGCUCGGAAUUAUUGGGCGUAAAGCGCACGUAGGCGGCGCGGCAAGUUGGAUGUGAAAGCCCUCGGCUUAACCGAGGAAGUGCAUUCAAAACUACCGUGCUUGAGUACGAAAGAGGGUCGCGGAAUUCCCGGUGUAGAGGUGAAAUUCGUAGAUAUCGGGAGGAACACCAGUGGCGAAGGCGGCGACCUGGGUCGAUACUGACGCUGAUGUGCGAAAGCGUGGGGAGCAAACAGGAUUAGAAACCCCCGUAGUCC